rnacentral:rRNA from 1 species
AAGUGUUAAGUCUUUAAUUUUUAAUCCUUAGCUUACUUUUUAGUUAAGGCUAGAAUUAAACAAAAAUUAAAGAUUAAAUUAGUAUUGAAUGAAACUUUGUUUAUAUAUCGAUAAUGACGAUAUAUAUAUUAUGUCUUGACCAAUUACGUGCCAGCAGUCGCGAAAAUAAAAAAAAAACUAGUGUUAUUCAUCUUAAUUAGGUUUAAAGGGUACUCAAACGGUCUUCUUCGCAUAAAAAGACUAGAGUUAUAUAGAAGAAGGUAGUACCUUAAGUGUAGAGAUUAUAUUUGGUCAUACUCGAGGGACUUAGAAAAGGCGUAGGCAACCUUCUAAGCAAUAACUGACGUUGAAGGACGAAGGCAUAGGUCACGAACAGGAUUAGAUACCCAAGUAGUCUUUGCAGUCAAUGAUGAAUGCCAUAGGUUAGAUAAAAAUUUAGUCUAUAAAUGAAAGUGUAAGCAUUUCACCUCAAGAGUAAUGUGGCAACGCAGGAACUGAAAU